UCCUUGCUCACCGCAGCCGCCUCAGCCAGGCGCCUCCUUCCCCGCUGCGGACUCCGGCAGCUUUAUCACCAGAGUCCCUGACUCGCCUUCUUUUUAAUCCCUUGCAUUGGAUCACCGGCGUGCCCCGUCAUGUCAGACGCAGCCGUAGACAUCAGCUCCAAAAUCACCACCAAGGACUUGAAGGAGAAGAAGGAAGUUGUGGAAGAGGUGGAAAAUGGAAGAGAUGCCCCUGCUAACGGGAAUGCUAAUGAGGAAAAUGGGGAGCAGGAGGCUGACAAUGAGGUAGAUGAAGAAGAAGGUGGGGAGGAAGAGGAGGAGGAAGAAAGUGAUGGUGAGGAGGAGGAUGGAGAUGAAGAUCGGAGGCUGAGUCUGCUACGGGCGAGUGGGCAGCUGCAGAUGCUGAGGAUGACUAUGUGGAUACCAAGAAGCAGAAGACUGACGAGGAUGACUAGACAGCAAAAAAGGAAAACUUAAACUAAAAAAAAAAAAAAAAAAGCUGCCGUGACCUCCUCACCCCGACUUCCCAUCUCAGAAUCUAAACAUGGUUGCCUUCAAGUAGAGAGGCCCGCCCACCACGGGCAGCGCCACCCGCAGAUGACCCACCGCGCUCUCCACUACCCAGCCCAAACCGUGAGAAUUUGCAGCAGGGGAGGAAGAAAGCACCAAAACUUCCAAGGCCCUGCUUUUUUUCUUAAAAGUACUUGAAAACGGAAAUUUGUUUGUAUUUUUUAUUUACAUUUUACAUUUUUGUACAUAUUGUUAGGGUCAACCAUUUUUCAUGAUCUCAAAUGACCAAAGCAGCUUUCGGAGCGUUCUGUGUCCUACUUCUGACUUUACUUGUGGUAUGACUAUUUCAUUAUAACCCCAAAGGAGAAAAAAACCUUGUAAAGAAAAGCGAAAAUGACAACUUUCAGAAAAACAAUCGUAUUCUGAGCAUUCCAGUACCUUUUUUGUGUAUGUACUUAGCUGUACUGUAGUUGGUUUGGAUGAGAUGGUUGAAAAGGCCAAAGA